rnacentral:rRNA from 1 species
CUGGUCUUGACAUGUCGCGAAUCCUGCAGAGAUGCGGGAGUGCCUUCGGGAAUGCGAACACAGGUGCUGCAUGGCUGUCGUCAGCUCGUGUCGAGAGAUGUUGGGUUAAGUCCCGCAACGAGCGCAACCCUUGUCCUUAGUUGCCAGCACGUAAAGGUGGGAACUCUAAGGAGACUGCCGGUGACAAACCGGAGGAAGGUGGGGAUGACGUCAAGUCAUCAUGGCCCUUACGACCAGGGCUACACACGUACUACAAUGGGAGGUACAGAGGGAAGCCAAGCCGCGAGGCGGAGCCAAUCCCGAUAAAACCUCUCUCAGUCCGGAUCGCAGUCUGCAACUCGACUGCGUGAAGUCGGAAUCGCUAGUAAUCGCGAAUCAGCAUUGUCGCGGUGAAUACGUUCCC